rnacentral:sRNA from 1 species
UGAUUUUUGAGCCCUCAUUUUUCCGUCUAUAAGGAAAAUUAACCAGUUCAAAAUUUUUGGAUUUUUGCCGGACUUUAUAUAUGGAGCCUGUCUGCUCUAAUAAUUAAGUUCAUAGUAAAAAGCUUCUCUUAAAUCUUUCCAAAUGAUUCCGCAUAAUGCAAGAGCAGAAGCAGAGUGGCCCCUUGUGGAGAACAGCUAAUUUUGUAUUAGAAAGAUCCUCUACCAAAUCGAAGAAGCUUGGCAACCCAGAAAAGCAAGAAGAACAACAAAAAAGGGAGUCUUAAAGUCCAAGUGACACUAUGAUGGAAG